rnacentral:rRNA from 1 species
GAUGAACGCUGGCGGCGUGCCUAAUACAUGCAAGUCGAACGGAGAAUGUAGCAAUACGUUCUUAGUGGCGAACGGGUGAGUAACGCGUUGGUGACCUGCCCCAAAGAGGGGGAUAACAGUUCGAAAGGACUGCUAAUACCCCAUAUUGUCAUCGGGAUUAGAUGCCCGGUGUCUAAAGGAGUCUCUUCACUUUGGGAGGGGCCUGCGUCCCAUCAGCUAGUUGGUAGGGUAAUGGCCUACCAAGGCGAUGACGGGUAGGGGACCUGAGAGGGUGGCCCCCCACAAUGGAACUGAAACACGGUCCAUACACCUACGGGAGGCUG